UACAGAGGGUGCGAGCGUUAAUCGGAAUUACUGGGCGUAAAGCGCGUGUAGGCGGCUCGGAAAGUCGGAUGUGAAAGCCCUGGGCUUAACCUAGGAAGUGCAUUCGAAACUCCCGAGCUUGAGUUCUGGAGAGGAAGGCGGAAUUCUCGGUGUAGAGGUGAAAUUCGUAGAUAUCGAGAGGAACACCGGUGGCGAAGGCGGCCUUCUGGACAGUGACUGACGCUGAGACGCGAAAGCGUGGGGAGCAAACAGG
rnacentral:rRNA from 1 species